AUUGAACGCUGGCGGCAGGCCUAACACAUGCAAGUCGAACGAGUGGCGCACGGGUGAGUAAUACAUCGGAACGUGUCCUAUCGUAGGGGAUAACUGAUCGAAAGAUCAGCUAAUACCGCAUACGAUUGGAGCGGCCGAUGCCCGAUUAGCUAGUUGGUGAGGUAAAGGCUCACCAAGGCGACGAUCGGUAGCUGGUCUGAGAGGACGACCAGCCAAACUGGGACUGAGACACGGCCCAGACUCCUACGGGAGGCAGCAGUGGGGAAUUUUGGGCAAUGGGGGCAACCCUGAUCCAGCCAUGCCGCGUGUAUGAAGAAGGCCUUCGGGUUGUAAAGUACUUUCAGCGAGGAGGCGUUACUCGCAGAAGAAGCACCGGCUAACUCCGUGCCAGCCGCCGCGGUAAUAC
rnacentral:rRNA from 1 species